GACGAACGCUGGCGGCGUGCCUAAUACAUGCAAGUUGAGCGAUGAAGCUUGGUGCUUGCACCAAUUUGAAGAGCAGCGAACGGGUGAGUAACGCGUGGGGAAUCUGCCUUUGAGCGGGGGACAACAUUUGGAAACGAGUGCUAAUACCGCAUAACGACUUUAAACAUAAGUUUUAAGUUUGAAAGAUGCAAUUGCAUCACUCAAAGAUGAUCCCGCGUUGUAUUAGCUAGUUGGUGAGGUAAAGGCUCACCAGGGCGAUGAUACAUAGCCGACCUGAGAGGGUGAUCGGCCAAAAUGGGAAGGAGACACGGCCCAAAAUCCUACGGGAGGCAGCAGGAGGGAAUCUUCGGCAAUGGACGAAAGUCUGACCGAGCAACGCCGCGUGAGUGAAGAAGGUUUUCGGAUCGUAAAACUCUGUUGGUAGAGAAGAAAGUUGGUGAGAGUGGAAAGCUCAUCAAGUGACGGUAACUACCCAGAAAGGGACGGCUAACUACGUG
rnacentral:rRNA from 1 species